CUGGCCAACAUGGUGAAACCCCGUUUCUACUUAAUAUACAAAAAUUAGCCGGGCAUGGUGGUGCACACCUGUAGUCCCAGCUCUUCAGGAGGCUGAGGCGGGAGAAUCGCUUGAACUCAGGAGGUGGAGGUAGAGGUUGCAGUGAGCCGAGAUCACGCCACUGCACUCUAGCCUGAGCGACAGCAUGAGACUCCUUCUCAAAAAAAAAGAAAAAAAGGACAACUUAUGAAACAAGGCUUUGCUGCUUUAUGUGUUGAUCCCAACUGUACAACCUGAAUGCUGUUCUCAGAGUCACUUCCUGGUAACCCAAA
rnacentral:lncRNA from 1 species